rnacentral:piRNA from 1 species
UCUGCCAGCUUGUGAUUUAGAAAGUGCAU